GAUGAACGCUGGCGGCGUGCUUAACACAUGCAAGUCGAACGGGAAACCUUUUAUUGAAGCUUCGGCAGAUUUAGCUGGUUUCUAGUGGCGGACGGGUGAGUAACGCGUGGGUAACCUGCCUUAUACAGGGGGAUAACAGUCAGAAAUGGCUGCUAAUACCGCAUAAGCGCACAGAGCUGCAUGGCUCAGUGUGAAAAACUCCGGUGGUAUAAGAUGGACCCGCGUUGGAUUAGCUGGUUGGUGGGGUAACGGCCCACCAAGGCGACGAUCCAUAGCCGGCCUGAGAGGGUGAACGGCCACAGUGGGACUGAGACACGGCCGAGACUCCUACGGGAGGCAGCAGUGGGGAAUAUUGCACAAUGGGGGAAACCCUGAUGCAGCGACGCCGCGUGAAGGAAGAAGUAUCUCGGUAUGUAAACUUCUAUCAGCAGGGAAGAUAAUGACGGUACCUGACUAAGAAGCCCCGGCUAACUACGUG
rnacentral:rRNA from 1 species